UGGUAAGUUCCUGAUGGUCUCCAUCAUCUC
rnacentral:piRNA from 1 species